UACGUAGGGUGCAGGCGUUAAUCGGAAUUACUGGGCGUAAAGCGUGCGCAGGCGGUUUGCUAAGAGAGAUGUGAAAUCCCCGGGCUUAACCUGGGAACUGCGUUUCUAACUGGCAGGCUUGAGUGUGGCAGAGGGGGGUGGAAUUCCACGUGGUAGCAGUGAAAUGCGUAGAGAUGUGGAGGAACACCGAUGGCGAAGGCAGCCCCCUGG
rnacentral:rRNA from 1 species